UUAUAAAACCCUCCUCACGUCUUCCCCAAAAUCACAUCCUUCCAUUGUUCUACCAGAGCUUUCAAAUCUCCAUCCAGUUCUUCAGUCCUGUGGAUUUUUACAACGUGUGCAGAAACAGGCGUUAAAGGGAUUUGAAUAGAUUCAGCAACGGGAUGGCUUUUUUGAUCUAAAAGAGCAAACUAAGGGAGGGUUGAUUUAGCAGUUUUGUUUUGUUUGGAAAAUGGGUUAGUUUAGCUUUUUGGAUAUCUUUCAGAAAUGCUAAUUAUGGGUUGUAAAACGAGAAUGUUUGUUUUCUGUUUUUGCUUUUAUUAACUACUUAAUUAAUUAAUUGUUAAAGAUGUUUAUACGUUUGACCACUAUCAAUAAACAUUUUUUUUACA